GAAGAGCGUGUCUAACAAUGUAAAGAUGGAAAGUUAAGUAACCUUUAUAUAUUUCAAGUACAAAGGCCCAUUUUCAGAUGUGAACGGUUGUGAAAUCUUCGGACCACGGCUGUCAUAAAAGUAAACCAAUUUCAAGGGACCAAUUUGAUCGCUUGGUGGGCUGAAAUCAUACCGCCAAGUUAUUUACAGAAUGUACUGGAGCUUUUUGCUGACGCUAUAUAAAAGUUUAAUUGAGGAGAUGGCCACAGAUUCCAGAGUGAAAUUUUAAUGAUCAAAAAACAUAUUUAAAGCUCUGGAAAAUCUGUCACACUUCAAAGAUUAUAAUCCAGUGAAAAACAAUCAAUAACAAAGACAGUUAAUCCCAAACAUGGAGCUCAAAACGAGAAAUUUAAUCAAAUUAACAAUAAAAUUAAUGUUUCUACAAACAAGAUGGUCAACACAACUUCAAUUUAUUUGAAGAAAGAACAGAAAUCUGCUUAACAAAGCGAUCUUUUCCUCUCCCUCAAGAGCUGAGAUGAUAAAGAAAUACAUUUUGCAUCUCUGGUUACUCUCUUGAGGAAAACAAAAUAUAGAUUGAAGUUGUAAACUGUAAUAUUUCAAAGGAA